UUGGAUGCUUAACCGACUGAGCCACCCACUGUUUCAUAAGUGUAUCCUGCAAAAUCUUAUUUCUUAAGGUAUCUCCAUGUAUAAAUUAAGUAGGCAUCAUCAUCUCUAGUUUACAGUCGGAGAAAUUAAAUUGAAGAGAAGGUAAGUGCAUCAGAUGUGACUGGCUGCUUCUCCAAAUCUAUAUCCCCCUAUACUCUCUCCCUCACACCCUUCUUUCUUUUGGCAGAGCUCCGAUUUUGUUCUCAUAUUUACUGGCAAGCUAUGCCAGGGACUACUCUUAGCUCCAUGAGUAAGUCUUGAUUAGUUUGAAUCAAUCACAGUAAUUUCAGUUCCUUUGCCAACGACUGGUUUAGGUGAUACACUUUGGGCCAAUGAGACAUGAGAGAAAGCUGAUGCAAGACUUUUAGAAAGAGUUUCUUUGCUUUUACAAAUAGACACAAGAAGAAACUUCCAAAAUGCUUCUCAACGUGGUCACAUGUGUGCGUGACGCUUGGAGCUCAGCAGCCAUUUUUGCCACCAUGGGAGGAGUUAGCCAAAUGUUGAAGUGGCAGAGGAGAGAGAUGGAAGGAAUCCGAUCCUUGAUGAUAUGAAUAAGCUGCUGAGUUAAUCAACACUGGAACUCCCCACCUUAAUCUUGUUAUUUAUGUGAGAUCAUAAAUUUCCUUAUUCUUUAAAGCACUUUAAAAUUUUCUGUACUUGCAGCCAAAAAACACCUCAUUUUGGGAGGCACUGGAGAAAAUGAAGAGAGACACAGAUAACAGAGUGACAACUGCCUAGGGAGUUACAACUGGAAGGAUGGUGAAAACUGUUUUUUGGGCAUGACCAUCUGAAACUAACAGGACAUCUGACUUUGGAAUCCAGAUACCACACUUGGAGGAGCCAAGAAGAAGAAACCACAUGAAGAUGCUAUGUGUGGGGGUCGGGCCAUCAGCCCCAGCUAAAAUCCCAGCAGACAGCCAGCCUCAAUGCCAGGAGUAAGACAUUCCCUGGUGACCGCAGCCAUACAGUCACCCUUAGCUUUUGAGUCUUCCCAGCUGAGGCCCCAGACACUGUGGGACAGAAACCAGUCAUCCCUAUGUGUCCUAUCUGAAUUCUUGACCCAUAGGGUCCAUAAGCAUAAUAAAAUGAUGGUUUCAUGCCACUAA